rnacentral:rRNA from 1 species
AACGAACGCUGGCGGCAUGCCUAACACAUGCAAGUCGAACGAACCCUUCGGGGUUAGUGGCGCACGGGUGCGUAACGCGUGGGAAUCUGCCCUUUGCUUCGGAAUAACAGUUAGAAAUGACUGCUAAUACCGGAUAAUGUCUUCGGACCAAAGAUUUAUCGGCAAAGGAUGAGCCCGCGUAGGAUUAGCUUGUUGGUGAGGUAAAGGCUCACCAAGGCGACGAUCCUUAGCUGGUCUGAGAGGAUGAUCAGCCACACUGGGACUGAGACACGGCCCAGACUCCUACGGGAGGCAGCAGUGGGGAAUAUUGGACAAUGGGCGAAAGCCUGAUCCAGCAAUGCCGCGUGAGUGAUGAAGGCCUUAGGGUUGUAAAGCUCUUUUACCA